UGAAGACAGUUUCUCCCUGGAUAUUGUUUUCGAUAGCGCACGGCUCAUUCCCGAUGAGCCAUUCCCCUGAGCCCAGAACAGGAUUAGUUCUGGGCCUUUUUUU
rnacentral:sRNA from 1 species